rnacentral:misc_RNA from 1 species
AAGAGUUGCAAAACUCCCACAAACCAUCGCGAACGUUACCCUAACCGUUGCCUCGGCGGCGCGGCCGCCCCCCUGGGGAGGACGACCGCCGGCGGUACGCAAACUCUGUUUUUGUAGGCCUCUCUGAGUAACUUAUCAAAUAAGUCA